UACGUAGGGUGCGAGCGUUAAUCGGAAUUACUGGGCGUAAAGCGUGCGUAGGUGGUUCGUUGUGUCUGUGGUGAAAGCCCCCGGGCUUAACCUGGGAACGGCCAUGGAAACUGGCGAGCUGGAGUGUGGCAGAGGGGGGUGGAAUUCCGCGUGUAGCAGUGAAAUGCGUAGAGAUGCGGAGGAACACCGAUGGCGAAGGCAGCCCCCUGGGCUAACACUGACGCUGAGGCACGAAAGCGUGGGGAGCAAACAGG
rnacentral:rRNA from 1 species